rnacentral:rRNA from 1 species
UACGAAGGGGGCUAGCGUUGCUCGGAAUCACUGGGCGUUAAGGGCGCGUAGGCGGCCUGAUCAGUCGGGGGUGAAAGCCUGUGGCUCAACCACAGAAUGGCCUUCGAUACUGUCGGGCUUGAGACCGGAAGAGGUAAGUGGAACUGCGAGUGUAGAGGUGAAAUUCGUAGAUAUUCGCAAGAACACCAGUGGCGAAGGCGGCUCACUGGUCCGGAUCUGACGCUGAGGCGCGGAAGCGUGGGGAGCAAACAGG